ensembl:lncRNA novel transcript, sense intronic to CBX5
GAGCCAGUGAGCAGGAAGCGCGCGGUAGGUUGGGCUUCUCCAGGAGGCAGCGGUUUGACUCCAAUGGGGAAUGCGGGAUCGGGCGGUUAAACGGAUGGAACGAAUCUGGAACCAGUAGACGGACAGCCUAAGGAAAGCGCUGGGACCAGUCGUCCAAUCGGCUCUCCAAAAGAGGGAGGUCUUCGAUUUGGGGUUGUGAGGAAGGGGAGUCGGUGCCUGUAAUGGCGUGUGAGGGUGGAUGUUUUAUCCACGAUGACUUCUCUAACGAAGCCUUUAGGCCUCAGUCCCAUACACCUCCUUGAAAGCGUAAGUUUGCUCCUGUAUUCCUCGACUUGAGCAUUUUUCCCCCGCCCCCUCACCACUUGAGGUUUGGGGAACAGGAGUUGUUUUUUUUUGUUUGUUUGUUUUUAAAUAAUACUUUCAGAAGUCGCUUCUUUAGGAAGACUGUUAAAAUGUUAGAACGAAUGGGAGAAAUCUCUAUGUACUGUCAUGGAAAGGCGUUCAAGAAAUAUCUCCUUCCUGAUAGUGCAUAUUUCUACUGACAAAUAUGUUUGUAGGUCCACAGAAAAGUUUUGGAAAGCUACACACCAAAGUGUCAAUCCUAGGGACACAGUAGGAUCGAGGCAGAUUAGAUCUUUAAUGUUUAAAACUUUGCAAGGUUAAUAAUUUGUGAUUAAAAUUAAAUAAAAAAUGAAGUCGAUUGUUUUGUGUUUCUAGUCAUAAUCACAUACUUACAACCCCUUUUCUGUUUUAUGUAAUCCAUGUGCCCAGUGCUUUUAUUUUAGUCUCUUUCUCCCGGGAACUUUCAUAUAUUUCUUUUCUUUACACCAUUGAAGAUAUCCUAAAGUCCCUCUUUUUGCUGUUCCUUUGAGGAUAUCUGACUUUGGAAUAAAAAAGAAACAAAGAGGGUAAUAUUUAGGGUUCUGGGGACAGAAGAUUCAUCCAUCACCUGGAUUAUUCCUUGCCUUUUAAUUAGAUUUCCUUCGAAGUGUGUUUUACAUGCAGUCUAUCUCCUUUUGGUAAUGCCCACUCUGCUUAUUCCAGGAUCUUUUGGAGAAAUAAAUAAAUUUUGAUAACAUUGGCUGUA